GGCUUAAGGCAGACAAGAACUUUCGAAAGGAUACAAUCUAUGAUCCGCUGCUCACUACGGCAAUCCAAGCAGAUACAUACACAACAUAUACACAUACUUACUCAUCUGUACAAGACAUACAAGAAGGCUGGUCACCCGCAGGGGAUGAGCAAUGGGUGGACAAAGUGCAGACCUUGUCAGAAUGACAGGAGGAAAGGGUGGGAGCAGGGGGCACUGAAUUUGGUAUGCCUUUUUAUAUGGUUCCACCACUUAGUCAAAAUAUUUCAUUCCAGUCAACUGUGGGAAGCCCUACAAUUUAAAUACAAGGAAUAGGGAGUGUGCCCAAUUGUACAAAUGAGUACAAUCACCACACUGAAGGGAGCAGAAGAGGAAUAAACUGGAAAACAUUAUCCUCACUCAGUAAAGCUAAAGACAAAAUUUCAUAUAAAAAAAUCUAUUCUCAGAAGAAUUCAACAGUUAGCAAGCUCACUCUGUGAGAGAGCAAGUAUUUUCAGCCUUACAGACCAUCCACUCUCUGAAAGAACUUGAUCAAUGUACUAAAAGCAACCGCAGACAAACACAAACAGAUGGGCGGGCUCUAUUCCAAAAAACUGUCUACAACACUAGGAAGCAGAGUGGAUUUGGUCCAUGGGCUAUCAUUCAUUAAAACUUGAUCUAGUUAAUAAGGUUGUUCCUCAUAUAAGAAUGUGAGCUGACAAACUCGAACAAGAACUGGGCGGCGAAUGAGAAAACGCAGUAUGGCUAACAAGAGCCCGGAGUCUCACUGACAGGAAGACAUCCAACCAAGUUAGGCAAAGUUAGAAUGAACACUGUUGGGCUAGGCUGUGGAGUACUUAUGGGAAGGACCCAAUCAAGAUGUCUACAUGCAUGUGCUACCGGCUACACACACGUGACCUAGGAGCCCAAUUCUAGCAAAACAGAUGGCUUGGCACUGGUGUCCUGAGAAGCAGGUAGCAAGCUUAAGGAUAUACACAGAGCACAACAGCACUUCAAAAUCCAAUGUUUAAAACAGUAGAGGGAGUAACCGAACCUUGAGAGAAGUAAGUCAUGGGGUGGAGAUGGGAGAAACAACUUUCUAAAGUUUUCACUUUCUCCAACAUGGUAAAUCAGACAUCCUUCCUAGAACAAUAAAUACACCCACAGUUGAAUAAAAUGCCUUCUAAAGUC
rnacentral:lncRNA from 1 species